rnacentral:rRNA from 1 species
UGCACGCCAGUGCGAUAAGGGGACUCCAAGUGCGAGGGCAUAUCGUCCUCGCUAUCCUGUACUGUAGGGUAGUACAGUAUCAAGAGCUGGGCAAGACCGGUGCCAGCCGCCGCGGUAAUACCGGCAGCUCGAGUGAUGGCCGAUCUUAUUGGGCCUAAAGCGUCCGUAGCUGGCCUCGCAAGUCCGUCGGGAAAUCCAUCAGCCCAACUGAUGGGCGUCCGGCGGAAACUACAAGGCUUGGGACCGGAAGGCUCGAGGGGUACGUCCGGGGUAGGAGUGAAAUCCCGUAAUCCCGAACGGACCACCGAUGGCGAAAGCACCUCGAGAAGACGGCUCCGACAGUGAGGGACGAAAGCUAGGGUCUCGAACCG